rnacentral:rRNA from 1 species
UACAGAGGGUGCGAGCGUUAAUCGGAAUUACUGGGCGUAAAGCGCACGUAGUCGGCUUUGCAAGUCGGGUGUGAAAUCCCCGGGCUCAACCUGGGAACUGCAUCCGAGACUGCAUUGCUAGAGUAUGGGAGAGGGAAGCGGAAUUUAUGGUGUAGCAGUGAAAUGCGUAGAUAUCAGAAGGAACAUCAGUGGCGAAGGCGGCUUCCUGGACCAAUACUGACGCUCAGGUGCGAAAGCGUGGGGAGCAAACAGG